GAUGAACGCUGGCGGCGUGCCUAAUACAUGCAAGUCGAGCGAACGGACGAGAAGCUUGCUCCUCUGAUGUUAGCGGCGGACGGGUGAGUAACACGUGGAUAACCUACCUAUAAGACUGGGAUAACUUCGGGAAACCGGAGCUAAUACCGGAUGAUAUUUUGAACCGCAUGGUUCAAAAGUGAAAGACGGUUUUGCUGUCACUUAUAGAUGGAUCCGCGCUGCAUUAGCUAGUUGGUAAGGUAACGGCUUACCAAGGCAACGAUGCAUAGCCGACCUGAGAGGGUGAUCGGCCACACUGGAACUGAGACACGGUCCAGACUCCUACGGGAGGCAGCAGUAGGGAAUCUUCCGCAAUGGGCGAAAGCCUGACGGAGCAACGCCGCGUGAGUGAUGAAGGUCUUCGGAUCGUAAAACUCUGUUAUUAGGGAAGAACAUAUGUGUAAGUAACUGUGCACAUCUUGACGGUACCUAAUCAGAAAGCCACGGCUAACUACGUG
rnacentral:rRNA from 1 species